ACCGGCAAACGGGUGCGGAACACGUACACAACCUUCCUAUAAGUGGGGAAUAGCCCGGAGAAAUUUGGAUUAAUACCCCGUAACAUAACGAUGUGGCAUCACAUUGUUAUUAUAGCUUCGGCGCUUAUUGAUGGGUGUGCGGCUGAUUAGAUAGUUGGCGGGGUAACGGCCCACCAAGUCUACGAUCAGUAGCUGAUGUGAGAGCAUGAUCAGCCACACGGGCACUGAGACACGGGCCCGACUCCUACGGGAGGCAGCAGUAAGGAAUAUUGGUCAAUGGACGCAAGUCUGAACCAGCCAUGCCGCGUGAAGGAUUAAGGUCCUCUGGAUUGUAAACUUCUUUUAUCUGGGACGAAAAAAGGCUUUUCUAAGUCACUUGACGGUACCAGAUGAAUAAGCACCGGCUAACUCCGUGCCAGCAGCCGCGGUAAUACGGAGGGUGCAAGCGUUAUCCGGAUUCACUGGGUUUAAAGGGUGCGUAGGCGGGCAGGUAAGUCAGUGGUGAAAUCCUGGAGCUUAACUCCAGAACUGCCAUUGAUACUAUCUGUCUUGAAUAUUGUGGAGGUAAGCGGAAUAUGUCAUGUAGCGGUGAAAUGCUUAGAUAUGACAUAGAACACCUAUUGCGAAGGCAGCUUACUACGCAUAUAUUGACGCUGAGGCACGAAAGCGUGGGGAUCAAACAGGAUUAGAUACCCUGGUAGUCCACGCCCUAAACGAUGGAUACUCGACAUACGCG
rnacentral:rRNA from 1 species